rnacentral:rRNA from 1 species
UACGAAGGGGGCGAGCGUUGUUCGGAUUUACUGGGCGUAAAGGGCGCGCAGGCGGUUCUGUUUGUCGAGUGUGAAAGCCCCGGGCUCAACCUGGGAACUGCGCUCGAAACGGCGGAACUAGAGUUCGGGAGAGGAGAGUGGAAUUCCCAGUGUAGAGGUGAAAUUCGUAGAUAAUUGGGAAGAACACCAGUGGCGAAGGCGGACUCACUGGCCCGGUACGUGGACGCUGACGGCGCGAAAGC